rnacentral:rRNA from 1 species
GAUGAACGCUAGCGGCAGGCCUAACACAUGCAAGUCGAGGGGUAGAAGGAGCUUGCUCCUUUGAGACCGGCGCACGGGUGCGUAACGCGUAUGCAAUCUACCUUGUACAGGGGAAUAGCCCAGAGAAAUUUGGAUUAAUGCCCCAUAGUAUAUAACCUUGGCAUGUUGGUUAUAUUAAAGUUCCAACGGUACAAGAUGAGCAUGCGUCCCAUUAGUUAGUUGGUAAGGUAACGGCUUACCAAGACGAUGAUGGGUAGGGGUCCUGUGAGGGAGAUCCCCCACAGUGGGACUGGGAACCGGACCAGAGAGAUACGGGACGGAGCAGUGAGGGAGAUUGGUCAAUGGUAGAAAGACUGAACCGGCCAUGCCGGGUGCAGGAAGGCGGUCCUAGGGAUUGUAAACUGCUUUUAUACAGGAAGAAUCCCUCCCGCGGGUGGGAGCUUGACGGUACUUGAGGAAUAAGGAUCGGCUAACUCCGUG